UGUAACGGGGCUAAACCAUGCACCGAAGCUGCGGCAGCGACACUGUGUGUUGUUGGGUAGGGGAGCGUUCUGUAAGCCUGCGAAGGUGUGCUGUGAGGCAUGCUGGAGGUAUCAGAAGUGCGAAUGCUGACAUAAGUAACGAUAAAGCGGGUGAAAAGCCCGCUCGCCGGAAGACCAAGGGUUCCUGUCCAACGUUAAUCGGGGCAGGGUGAGUCGACCCCUAAGGCGAGGCCGAAAGGCGUAGUCGAUGGGAAACAGGUUAAUAUUCCUGUACUUGGUGUUACUGCGAAGGGGGGACGGAGAAGGCUAUGUUGGCCGGGCGACGGUUGUCCCGGUUUAAGCGUGUAGGCUGGUUUUCCAGGCAAAUCCGGAAAAUCAAGGCUGAGGCGUGAUGACGAGGCACUACGGUGCUGAAGCAACAAAUGCCCUGCUUCCAGGAAAAGCCUCUAAGCAUCAGGUAACAUCAAAUCGUACCCCAAACCGACACAGGUGGUCAGGUAGAGAAUACCAAGGCGCUUGAGAGAACUCGGGUGAAGGAACUAGGCAAAAUGGUGCCGUAACUUCGGGAGAAGGCACGCUGAUAUGUAGGUGAAGUCCCUCGCGGAUGGAGCUGAAAUCAGUCGAAGAUACCAGCUGGCUGCAACUGUUUAUUAAAAACACAGCACUGUGCAAACACGAAAGUGGACGUAUACGGUGUGACGCCUGCCCGGUGCCGGAAGGUUAAUUGAUGGGGUCAGCGCAAGCGAAGCUCUUGAUCGAAGCCCCGGUAAACGGCGGCCGUAACUAUAACGGUCCUAAGGUAGCGAAAUUCCUUGUCGGGUAAGUUCCGACCUGCACGAAUGGCGUAAUGAUGGCCAGGCUGUCUCCACCCGAGACUCAGUGAAAUUGAACUCGCUGUGAAGAUGCAGUGUACCCGCGGCAAGACGGAAAGACCCCGUGAACCUUUACUAUAGCUUGACACUGAACAUUGAGCCUUGAUGUGUAGGAUAGGUGGGAGGCUUUGAAGUGUGGACGCCAGUCUGCAUGGAGCCGACCUUGAAAUACCACCCUUUAAUGUUUGAUGUUCUAACGUUGACCCGUGAUCCGGGUUGCGGACAGUGUCUGGUGGGUAGUUUGACUGGGGCGGUCUCCUCCUAAAGAGUAACGGAGGAGCACGAAGGUUGGCUAAUCCUGGUCGGACAUCAGGAGGUUAGUGCAAUGGCAUAAGCCAGCUUGACUGCGAGCGUGACGGCGCGAGCAGGUGCGAAAGCAGGUCAUAGUGAUCCGGUGGUUCUGAAUGGAAGGGCCAUCGCUCAACGGAUAAAAGGUACUCCGGGGAUAACAGGCUGAUACCGCCCAAGAGUUCAUAUCGACGGCGGUGUUUGGCACCUCGAUGUCGGCUCAUCACAUCCUGGGGCUGAAGUAGGUCCCAAGGGUAUGGCUGUUCGCCAUUUAAAGUGGUACGCGAGCUGGGUUUAGAACGUCGUGAGACAGUUCGGUCCCUAUCUGCCGUGGGCGCUGGAGAACUGAGGGGGGCUGCUCCUAGUACGAGAGGACCGGAGUGGACGCAUCACUGGUGUUCGGGUUGUCAUGCCAAUGGCACUGCCCGGUAGCUAAAUGCGGAAGAGAUAAGUGCUGAAAGCAUCUAAGCACGAAACUUGCCCCGAGAUGAGUUCUCCCUGACUCCUUGAGAGUCCUGAAGGAACGUUGAAGACGACGACGUUGAUAGGCCGGGUGUGUAAGCGCAGCGAUGCGUUGAGCUAACCGGUACUAAUGAACCGUGAG
rnacentral:rRNA from 1 species